rnacentral:tRNA from 1 species
GUACUAUUAGCUUAAUGGUAAAGCCUUUCAAUGUCACUGAAAGAGAUGUCAGUUCGAGUCUGAUAUAGUACG